rnacentral:rRNA from 1 species
AACCAACAGGGAUUGCCUCAGUAACGGCGAGUGAAGCGGCAAAAGCUCAAAUUUGAAAUCUGGCACCUUCGGUGUCCGAGUUGUAAUUUGAAGAAGGUAACUUUGGAGUUGGCUCUUGUCUAUGUUCCUUGGAACAGGACGUCACAGAGGGUGAGAAUCCCGUGCGAUGAGAUGCCCAAUUCUAUGUAAAGUGCUUUCGAAGAGUCGAGUUGUUUGGGAAUGCAGCUCUAAGUGGGUGGUAAAUUCCAUCUAAAGCUAAAUAUUGGCGAGAGACCGAUAGCGAACAAGUACAGUGAUGGAAAGAUGAAAAGAACUUUGAAAAGAGAGUGAAAAAGUACGUGAAAUUGUUGAAAGGGAAGGGCUUGAGAUCAGACUUGGUAUUUUGCAAGCCUUACCUUCGUGGUGGGGUCCCCUGCAGUUUACUGGGCCAGCAUCGGUUUGGAUGGUAGGAUAAUGACUUGGGAAUGUGACUUUGCUUCGGUAAAGUGUUAUAGCCCUUGUUGAUACUGCCUGUCUAGACCGAGGACUGCGUCUUUGACUAGGAUGCUGGCAUAAUGAUCUUAAGUCGC